rnacentral:lncRNA from 1 species
UUUGGGUUUUUUUUUUCUCUCUUGGUUCUGGAUCGGUUGUGAGCCGGGAGGCCUAAGGGUAAUGGUUCGGCCGGAAUCCUUGAGACCUCCUAACUCAGCUCUGUCAACCUUGGUCCUUGACGAGUACUUUUUUUCCUCAGCUGUUAUGAGGUUUUAACGAGGCUCGGCCCUUAGUCUGCAGCUUUGUACUUUCAAGGGUUUUUGGUUCUCCGUUGUUGUUUCUUUUCUUUUUAAUAAAAUCUUAU